GACGAACGCUGGCGGCGUGCUUAACACAUGCAAGUCGAACGAUGAAGCCGGAGCUUGCUCUGGUGAAUUAGUGGCGAACGGGUGAGUAACACGUGAGUAACCUGCCCUUGACUCUGGGAUAACUGCGGGAAACUGUAGCUAAUACCGGAUACGACCCUCGGAGGCAUCUCCUGGGGGUGGAAAGAAUUUCGGUCAAGGAUGGACUCGCGGCCUAUCAGCUAGUUGGUGAGGUAAAGGCUCACCAAGGCGACGACGGGUAGCCGGCCUGAGAGGGUGACCGGCCACACUGGGACCGAGACACGGCCCAGACUCCUACGGGAGGCAGCAGUGGGGAAUAUUGCACAAUGGGCGCAAGCCUGAUGCAGCAACGCCGCGUGAGGGAUGACGGCCUUCGGGUUGUAAACCUCUUUUAGCAGGGAAGAAGCGAAGGUGACGGUACCUGCAGAAAAAGCACCGGCUAACUACGUGCCAGCCGCCGCGGUAA
rnacentral:rRNA from 1 species